AUUGAACGCUAGCGGGAUGCCUUACACAUGCAAGUCGAACGAGUGGCGAACGGGUGAGUAAUGUAUCGGUACGUGCCCAGUAGCGGGGGAUAACUACGCGAACCGUAGCUAAUACUGCAUACUAUUGGAGCGGCCGAUAUCGGAUGAGCUAGUUGGGGGGCUAACGGCUCACCAAGGCGACGAACCGUAGCUGGUUUGAGAGGAAGACCAGCCACACUGGAACUGCGUCACGGCCCAGACGCCUAGGGUAGGCAGCAGUGGGGAAUGUUGGACAAUUGGGGAAAUCCUGAUCCAGCCAUCCCGCGUGUGCAAUGAAGGCCUUCGGGUUGUAAAGCACUUUAGGCAGGAAAGCGGUAACUGCAGAAUAAGCACCGGCUAACUACGUGCCAGCAGCCGCGGUAAUUC
rnacentral:rRNA from 1 species